UUUAUUGGAGAGUUUGAUCCUGGCUCAGGAUGAACGCUGGCGGCGUGCCUAAUACAUGCAAGUCGAGCGAAUGGAUUGAGAGCUUGCUCUCAAGAAGUUAGCGGCGGACGGGUGAGUAACACGUGGGUAACCUGCCCAUAAGACUGGGAUAACUCCGGGAAACCGGGGCUAAUACCGGAUAACAUUUUGAACUGCAUGGUUCGAAAUUGAAAGGCGGCUUCGGCUGUCACUU
rnacentral:rRNA from 1 species